rnacentral:rRNA from 1 species
GGAGUUAGCCGGUGCUUCUUCUGCGAGUAACGUCACAGAUGUAAGGUAUUAACUUACACCCUUUCCUCCUCGCUGAAAGUGCUUUACAACCCGAAGGCCUUCUUCACACACGCGGCAUGGCUGCAUCAGGGUUUCCCCCAUUGUGCAAUAUUCCCCACUGCUGCCUCCCGUAGGAGUCUGGGCCGUGUCUCAGUCCCAGUGUGGCUGAUCAUCCUCUCAGACCAGCUAGGGAUCGUCGCCUAGGUGAGCCUUUACCUCACCUACUAGCUAAUCCCACCUGGGCUUAUCCAUCAGCGCAAGGCCCGAAGGUCCCCUGCUUUCCCCCGUAGGGCGUAUGCGGUAUUAGCAGUCGUUUCCAACUGUUAUCCCCCACAAAUGGGCAAAUUCCCAGGCAUUACUCACCCGUCCGCCGCUCGUCAUCUUCAAAAGCAAGCUUUUGAAAUGUUACCGCUCUACUUGCAUGUGUUAGGCCUGCCGCCAGCGUUCAAUCUGAGCCAGAAUCGAACCCUGA